UAAUUUUAGAAGCAGUUACUUAUAUUUUUUAGGAAAAACUUCAAAAACCCUCCCGAGGUUUCACUUUUUUUCAGUUUAGUAUCCUGUGGUUUAAAGUGUAUCAUAUUAGUACUCUGCGGUUUUUCACUUUAUCACUUUAGUAUCUUUUGGUUUAAAGUGUAUCAAGUUAGUACCAUAUGAUUUCACACUUUAUCACUUUAGUAUCCUGUGGUUUCGCACUUUAUCACUUUAGUACCCUGUGGACUUGAUACAAAAAUAAAAUCACAGGGUACUAACUUGAUACAGUUUAGACCACUUAGUACUAAAGUGAUAAAGUGAGAAACCACAUGGUACUAACUUGAUAAAUUUUAAAUCACAGAAUACUAAAAUAAAAAAGUACGAAACUACAUGGGGUUUUUUUUAAAGUCUUCCCUAUUUUUUGGGUUCUUGUGUCUAUACUAUCCAAUCAUCCAAUAGUCAGACAUCAAAGGGCCUAGAAAGUAAAAGUAAUAUACUUCUAGAUUAUGUGUAGAUAUAUAGAUAUAAAUGAAAUUAUUUGGCUGGAAUAUUAUUAAUAGUAUUUAGACUAUUUUGCUAUUGAGUUUUUACUUACGAAAAAUUAUAGAGUUAGCAUGAUAGUGGUUCUCUAAGAUUUAAUGACGAUCCCUCUAAAGUUGAGUGGGCAGUUGGUUAAAUACUAUGAUCUAAAUGGCAAAAUUAAUUAAAAUAUAAAUCUAACGACUAAAAAAUUAAUAGUAAAAAAAUUUAAAUACUAUUAAUAGUAUUUCAGCUCAUCUCUAUAUAAAUACGUACUUUAAAAUUUAAUCAACAUA
rnacentral:lncRNA from 1 species